AUUACAAUGAAUACAUUAUGAAUAAGGAUAAAAUGUUACACAAAUACUCCGUAAAAAGGGCGAUACAACACUUUUCCAAAUUUGCAAAUUUUAUAACGGAUUAUCUAUUGUUGUUAUUGAAAACCGUACGUGAUUUAUUGAAAAGUGUUGUACCACGAUUUUAUCACUCUUAUCAGUACCAAAGUCAAACGGUAUAUAAUUUUUCAAUCCUAGCUCAUCAUAUUUAUUUUCGUUUCGUAUUUAUUAUCAUUUGCAGGGUUUUUACUUUCGCGUUAAAUUAUAUUGACAAGUCUGUGUUUAUACGGAUACCGUCUUGUAUUAUGUUUCAAAUAAUCAUCCCAAGAUUAUUACGUCAACGUGAAAUGCGAAUCGAUCGGUGGUUUCCGGAGGGAUGAAUUUCGGGACUCUCCACGUUUCCCUCUCGUGACAUCUAAAGACAUCUAAAAGACCAUCUAAAAGACAAACGAUCUCGUUCCGUUUCACGGAGCGCGGGAACUUUUCUCUAAAGCCUCUAUUUAUACGUUUAAUUGACACCUCUUAAACGCUAUUAAUAUUCAUCGCCGAAAAUUAAAAACCAUCGGCAAAAUUUUAAAACCUGAAACGUAUAUUUUUGCUAUUAUUGAGAUUUAUUGCUUUCUCCGUCCACGGAGAAAUAACGGACAUGUUUCGAAUAUUCCCCCCACUUAUAAUGCUAGGAGACCGUUCUUUUUGAAACCUGGUAAGAUGUCGUCAACUAUAAAAGUCAAAAUAUUAUCGUAUGACCAGCCAGUAACUCUUUGAUCACAGACUUGACUCCAUCGUGCCUAAAAGUGAAAUCAAACAUGAAAGCAAUCAUUAUCGUGCACAUCAUUUCUUUCAUCGCCGUUUUGGGUCAAUUCACAGAUGGGCAAAAAGCAAAAUUGAGAGAGUUCACAGAAUCAUGUGUGAAUCGAUUCUGUGAAAUGAACGAAUAUGGUGUCGAUAGGAGUGGGUGAAGAAUAAAUUAACUGCAUACACAUAUAUACUCGUGUGCCUGUGUGCGUUUCUGGAACAACUGGUUGGAAAAUAAGAGACAAGCUAAAUGUUUCAUGGACAACGAUAUUUAUCAUUUACAAUAGAAUAAAACCAAACUUUGCAUAAAGACUUAAUUAGAUUAAUGGGAUCUAUUGUUUACUAGCUGACACAUCAGAUUAAAAUAUAA